rnacentral:rRNA from 1 species
UGGGGAAUAUUGCACAAUGGGCGCAAGCCUGAUGCAGCCAUGCCGCGUGUGUGAAGAAGGCCUUCGGGUUGUAAAGCACUUUCAGCGAGGAGGAAGGGUUCAGUGUUAAUAGCACUGUGCAUUGACGUUACUCGCAGAAGAAGCACCGGCUAACUCCGUGCCAGCAGCCGCGGUAAUACGGAGGGUGCAAGCGUUAAUCGGAAUUACUGGGCGUAAAGCGCACGCAGGCGGUUUGUUAAGUCAGAUGUGAAAUCCCCGCGCUUAACGUGGGAACUGCAUUUGAAACUGGCAAGCUAGAGUCUUGUAGAGGGGGGUAGAAUUCCAGGUGUAGCGGUG